rnacentral:rRNA from 1 species
GACGAACGCUGGCGGCGUGCUUAACACAUGCAAGUCGAACGGAAAGGCCCUGCUUGCAGGGUGCUCGAGUGGCGAACGGGUGAGUAACACGUGGGUGAUCUGCCCCUUACUUUGGGAUAAGCCUGGGAAACUGGGUCUAAUACUGGAUAGGACCAUGCUGUAGGUGGUGUGGUGGAAAGAUUAGUUUCGGUAAGGGAUGAGCUCGCGGCCUAUCAGCUUGUUGGUGGGGUAAUGGCCUACCAAGGCGUCGACGGGUAGCCGGCCUGAGAGGGUGGACGGCCACAUUUGGACUGAGAAGCGGGCCAGAAUCCCGCGGGAGGCAGCAAGGGGGAAUAGUGCACAAUGGGCGCAAGCCUGAUGCAGCGACGCCGCGUGGGGGAUGACGGCCUUCGGGUUGUAAACUCCUUUCAGCCAUGACGAAGCCCUUGUGGUGACGGUAGUGGUAGAAGAAGCACCGGCUAACUACGUG